rnacentral:lncRNA from 1 species
CCUACUCCAAUCCCCUAACCUAACAAAGGAGGAAUCUGGGUCCCAGAGAAGGGAAAGACUUGUGCAAAAUCACAGAAACACAUUUUCAUUGAACAGUCCUAAUUGGCAAUGGAUAAAGUGGCAAGAGCACUGGAAUUGGAAUGAGACCUAGUUUCAAAACCUGGCAAUGAAAUGGUCCAGCUGUGUGACAGAUUCUCAGGCUCUUUCUGAAUUGGGAAAAGAGGUUGGAAAAAGGAAUGGCUUUCCAGAGAGGAUUCCACCAACCAUUCAUGACAGAAGCACUGGGAGGGUACAAGCCUUCCCAGGACAAGAUCAUCAUAGUACCAGCUCCUAGACCUGCAGUCUGUGAACUUUUUAAAAUUUGAUAACUAUAUUUAAAUAUAAUUUCUUUCCCCCAGUAUACUUAGUUAUAGGCACUUCAAAACAUUAUUCUGAGAAGGGAUCGAUAGGCAGCUAGGUAGUACAAUAGAUUAGAGCCCUGGACUUGGAAUCAGAAGCGCUCAUCCUCCUGAUUUCCAAUCUGAGGUAGCUGUAUGACUGUGGGGAAGUCAUUUAACCAAGUUUAUCUCAGUUCCUCAUCUACAGAAUGAAUUGGAGAAGGGAAUGGCAAAUCCCUCCAGCAUCUUUGUCCAGAAAAUGCCAGAUGGUGUCAUGAAGAGUCAGAUGUGGCUGAAAUGACUCAACAAGCAUAGACUGCCCAAAGGGUGCCUAACCCAGAAAAUCUUGCCUGAGUUCAAAGACACAUUACCCUGCUUACCUUUUUAAGUCCUCCACACCCUGCCUCUCCUGUUCUGCA